rnacentral:misc_RNA from 1 species
AUCGGGGUACUGAAGGGUGCGAUAGCACCGCCCGCUCUUCGCCUCCCAGAACCUGAUGGUGUGAUCAUACCCCGCCGUGGCGAGGAUCACUGAAGGUGAAGAUGGAUUCAUCUCGGAUCACUUGCCUCCGCCUUAGCUAUCCAAUGGAUCGUCACUCCACCGGAUCAUGGAAUGGCGUGGAGGCGGAGUUGGCGGUUGCGCCGCCGGUGAGGCGGAGGAGGAGUACAGGGGUUUUG